rfam:Myotis brandtii contig278841, whole genome shotgun sequence.
GCCGGUGUGGCUCAGUGGUUGAGCGUCCACCUAGGAACCAGGAGGUCAGGGUUUGAUUCCCUGUCAGGGGCA